CCCUUGACUACUCCAUAACUCUUAGUCCUGGGGAACUAAAACGAAAGGAGUUUAUCCGCCGGGCCGGCGGUGCGGCAGUGUGGAGACCUGCCGUAACGUCUUCGAGGUUUCGCCCCCCGGAGGCGAGGAAGGUUGCGCAGAGGCGGACCUUUCACGGCCUUAUGCUAUGGCA
rnacentral:ncRNA from 1 species